UUAAACUCGCAGACAUCCUCCUCUUGUGAAGAUGCUGCUAUUUUAAAAACCCAGCAUCUUGUUCUUGGAAUGAAACGCUUUGUUCAAAGCGUGAUAAUGCAAGCCUGCCAGUACCAGUAUACCUAGCAAAGACAAGAGCAACACAAUUCUAUUAAGGUUUAAGGUAUUAAGGUUUAACCAUAAAGUCUGCGAAUCGAAGUAGUAGCUGCAAGGCUCCUCUAGCCGGAGACCGCAAAGAUGGUUUGCAACCGGCUUCUUUUCGUCGCUCUCGCCAUAUUUUGUCUUUUGUCGCCGUUACAGUUGGGAGGUCCCACAUGCGCUCAUGCAGGUUAUGACUACAGAUCUUUCCAUAAAGCAGGACCAUUUUGGAGAACACAGCGUACUACUACUAGACGGCCAACUACAACUCCACGCAGGCCAGGAAGCAAGUGCGGAUAAGAAAAGUCAACUACUCAAAACAUUCGGCUACGGAGCACUGGAAGUCGAACUAAAGAGGGAAAUAAAAUUAUUUCAAACAA